CACGUGGGUGAUCUGCCUUGCACUCUGGGAUAAGCUUGGGAAACUGGGUCUAAUACCGGAUAGGACAGCUGUUUAGUGUCAGUUGUGGAAAGUUUUUCGGUGCAAGAUGAGCUCGCGGCCUAUCAGCUUGUUGGUGGGGUAAUGGCCUACCAAGGCGUCGACGGGUAGCCGGCCUGAGAGGGUGUACGGCCACAUUGGGACUGAGAUACGGCCCAG
rnacentral:rRNA from 1 species